UACAGUCCAAUUUGUAAGUCGCUCUGGAUAAGAGCGUCUGCUAAAUGACUUAAA
rfam:Salmo salar isolate Sally breed double haploid chromosome ssa04, whole genome shotgun sequence.